rnacentral:lncRNA from 1 species
UUCUAUCCGUUUCUUUCUUCUACGAGCUAAAUCAUUACUAGACCAUCUGAAAGUCUUCCCAAAAAGUAGCUGUAUAUGGAUAACUAAUACCAAUACCUUGAGUUUGUCUCAUUGUGACAACUGACGAACCAAUAAAUGCCAUCCAUGCAGGGUCUGAGGCGAUGUUUGCUGAUCUUGGUCACUUCUCUUAUUCUGCAAUUCAGGUAACUGACAUGAAUCCUCUUCCAUGUUUUGAUUUGAUACUAAUGUGUUAUCCUAUUCAUGUGAGUUCAAAACUAGCUGCUAAAGUGAAAUUUAACGUUGUCUUGCUACAGACUGCUUUUACCUUUCUGGUUUAUCCAGCUCUUAUAUUGGCAUACAUGGGCCAAGCUGCUUACUUGUCUCAACAUCAUCAUACGAGUUACCAAAUCAGCUUCUAUGUCUCAGUUCCAGGUAUACCUCAUCUGUUCUGAAUGCAAUAAAAAAUGGUAGGAAGCUGACCGAUGAAAAUAGAGAUCUGUAAAAGAGAAAAGUGCAAAUGACAAACUGUGUCAUGUAUCUAUCCAACCUAAAAGGGAAUGCAAUUUCACACUGUAGGCUACAGUACAUGUCUAAGUUCAUGGUUACAGACCAAUAAACUUGAUUGCUUAAUUGUUUUUAUGUACUGUACAGAAAGUGUGAGAUGGCCUGUGCUCAUAAUAGCAAUUCUUGCUUCUGUCGUGGGAAGCCAAGCAAUCAUUAGUGGAACAUUCUCCAUAAUCAAUCAGAGCCAGUCACUUAGUUGUUUCCCUAGAGUGAAGGUCAUUCACACCUCUGACAAGAUACAUGGCCAGAUUUAUAUCCCUGAAAUCAAUUGGGUGCUCAUGAUCCUCUGCAUUGCUGUGACUAUUGGCUUUAGAGACACAAAACACAUGGGGAAUGCAUCAGGUAAGGUUAAACUUCAUGUGCAGCCUAUAAAAGCAUUCCAAUAUAUUAUUAAAAUAGUUUCCUUCUUCUUAUUCUUUGGAAAUGGUUGUAAGGAAGACCUUUCUGCUUUGGGGUAACAGCG